GGGAGACUUCGAAGCCUGCGAGGAGAAUAUGAAGAAAUAUCUCUAAAAGAUGAAAGAUCUAGUUUCGAAAUUUACUAGCUUCGAGAUUCAGUAGUUGCUCUGAUCUAAAAAUUCAAGAGCUGAUCUGCUGUCCAAGUUAGUGACAUCGGCCCCAAAGGAUCUACCUCAGAAGAUAUUCUUUGAGAUUUUAGAAAGGCCCAAUAUUGAAAAACCGAUUCCAGUCCUAC
rnacentral:lncRNA from 1 species